rnacentral:rRNA from 1 species
UACGGAGGGGGCAAGCGUUGCUCGGAAUUAUUGGGCGUAAAGGGUAGGUAGGUGGUCUUAUUUGUCUGGGGUGAAAGCCUUGAGCUUAACUCGAGAAGUGCCCCAGAAACGGUGAGACUAGAGUCCUGGAGAGGGUCGUGGAAUUCCCGGUGUAGCGGUGAAAUGCGUAGAGAUCGGGAGGAACACCAGAGGCGAAGGCGGCGACCUGGACAGGCACUGACACUCAACUACGAAAGCGUGGGGAGCAAACAGG